UGCUAAUAUCCAUUUUGUGGCUAUUUUUCAGCAGUUUCUAGGUUUGGUUUGCAGCAAGGAAUAAAGAACAAGGGCUUGUGCCUCUCACCUUCAAAUCAGCUGCCAGCCAGGUAGCACUGCCCUACACAUCUCUGUAGGACAUUUACAAAUUGGAGAUAGUAUUGAGAACCUGAGGAGAUUUUUAGCUGGGAUCCUAUGGGCUGAACACAAUUCACAUGAGCUGAGGAGAGUGUCCCCCUGUAAGGAGAAGGUGAUCAUCUGGAAAGCACAUCUGGGAUCCAAGACCAAGCAUCCCCUCCAUGGAUUUAAGGGAUGAGAAGGCAAAUGCCUUUGAGAACUUAGCAUUUCUCUGUCUUCAUUUUGUCUAUCUGUCAUUUUAUGCUCUCCAGAUACAGGUUUUGAGAGAUAAAAUGAAUGUCUAUAUAUUAUUUUGAGCAUCUCUGAUGAGUGAUUUGAACCAGGAGCUGGAUUAUGACUGGGUAAGGCACAGUAUGGUCAUGGCAACAAAAUGGAUAAUCUUGACAGAUGGUGAAGUUGAUAUUUUUGUUUCUUUGGUUGUCUUUUCACAAUCAUUUUAGAGUAAACUGAGUGAUUUUUCCUGGAAUGAUGAGCUGUCUGCCUGGACACUUGUGUGUAAGCCUAGAUGAAAUCCAGAGCUUUAUAUAGAUCCACCUUUUUUUUCUUUUUAAAUUAGUGGGAAACCUCUUGCUGCCUGUAUUAAAAGACAAAAUGAGGUCUUUGUUC